UUCGGGGAUUUUGGUGAUUUAGACCCAGGCUGGCAAAGCAGAUGCACGGCCCAGCCCUGCCGCAGGUGGGAGCCAGCAUCCGCGACCCUUUUGCGUGGAAAG
rnacentral:rRNA from 1 species